rnacentral:rRNA from 1 species
UACGGAGGUGGCAAGCGUUGCUCGGAAUCACUGGGCGUAAAGGGCGCGUAGGCGGUCAGCACAAGUCAGUUGUGAAAUCUCCGGGCUUAACUCGGAAAGGUCAACUGAUACUGUGCGACUAGAGUGCAGAAGGGGCAACUGGAAUUCUCGGUGUAGCGGUGAAAUGCGUAGAUAUCGAGAGGAACACCUGCGGCGAAGGCGGGUUGCUGGGCUGACACUGACGCUGAGGCGCGAAAGCCAGGGGAGCGAACGGG